ACGUAGGUGGCGAGCGUUGUCCGGAAUUACUGGGUGUAAAGGGUGAGUAGGCGGAAUGGCAAGUCAGAUGUGAAAUAUCGGGGCUUAACCCCGGGGCUGCAUUUGAAACUGCUGUUCUUGAGUGAUGGAGAGGCAGGCGGAAUUCCUAGUGUAGCGGUGAAAUGCGUAGAUAUUAGGAGGAACACCAGUGGCGAAGGCGGCCUGCUGGACAUUAACUGACGCUGAGGCACGAAAGCGUGGGGAGCAAACAG
rnacentral:rRNA from 1 species